rnacentral:rRNA from 1 species
UGGGGAAUCUUGCGCAAUGGCCGCAAGGCUGACGCAGCGACGCCGCGUGGGGGAGGAAGGGCUUCGGCUCGUAAACCCCUGUUGCCCGGGGCGAACAUCCCGUUUCGACGGGACUGACGGUACCGGGUGAGGAAGCACCGGCUAACUCCGUGCCAGCAGCCGCGGUAAUACGGAGGGUGCGAGCGUUGUCCGGAAUCACUGGGCGUAAAGGGCGCGUAGGCGGCCGAGCAAGGUCGCGGUGAAAGCCCGGGGCUCAACCCCGGGUCGGCCGUGGCAACUACUCGGCUCGAGCACUGUAGGGGCGGGUGGAAUUCCGGGUGUAGCGGUGGAAUACGUAGAGAUCCGGAAGAACACCGGUGGCGAAGGCGGCCCGCUGGGCAGGAAGGCUCGCAAGAGCCGGCUGACGCUGAGGCGCGACAGCGUGGGGAGCAAACAGG